AGUGAACGCUGGCGGUAGGCCUAACACAUGCAAGUCGAACGGCAGCACAGUAAGAGCUUGCUCUUACGGGUGGCGAGUGGCGGACGGGUGAGGAAUACAUCGGAAUCUACUUUUUCGUGGGGGAUAACGUAGGGAAACUUACGCUAAUACCGCAUACGACCUACGGGUGAAAGCAGGGGAUCUUCGGACCUUGCGCGAUUGAAUGAGCCGAUGUCGGAUUAGCUAGUUGGCGGGGUAAAGGCCCACCAAGGCGACGAUCCGUAGCUGGUCUGAGAGGAUGGUCAGCCACACUGGAACUGAGACACGGUCCAGACUCCUACGGGAGGCAGCAGUGGGGAAUAUUGGACAAGGGGCGCAAGCCUGAUCCAGCCAUACCGCGGGGGUGAAGAAGGCCUUCGGGUUGUAAAGCCCUUUUGUUGGGAAAGAAAAGCAGCAGGUUAAUACCCCGCUGUUCUGACGGUACCCAAAGAAUAAGCACCGGCUAACUUCGUG
rnacentral:rRNA from 1 species